AGGUAGAAGAGAUUCUCUCUAAAAGUAGAUACUUAACUGGAAAUAGUAUUACCUUGGUAGAUGUUCGCUUGUUUGCUUGUCUGGUUCGAUUUGACAGUUGCUAUUACACCUUAUUUAAGUGCUCAAAAAAACUGAUUAGCUGUUACAAAAACUUAUGGGGAUACACAAGAGAUAUUUACCAAACUGGAAAUGUCAAAAAUAUGGUCAACUUUAGUCAUAUUAAAUCAUUAUAUUGGUUAAACAAAACAAGAAACCCUAGUUUAAUUCUUCCAAUUGAUCCUUGUGCUGAUUUUUCAGAACCAAAUAAUAGAGAACAUGUUGGUAAUUAAGGUUGUUGGAGAAAAGAAAGAAAUUUAAAAUUUGAGGAGAUUAUGUCUAUUUGAUUUAGUUUGAUUUAUUUUUUUUUUUAU
rnacentral:lncRNA from 1 species